GAUCUGUCCUAAGGAGGAGCUGUAUGGAUUCUGCAAGACACGCAAUCUGACACACAAUACCCAAGUCACUCCUCUGUAACGGAGCAAGAAACCCACCGAUAACAAUCCAUGAUGCUUAAGAUUCAAGACAACCUAUGCUGGACGCAGCAAAGCAGCCCUCGAACAACCAAGGCUCCUCCAUGUUCCACAAUAGGUA